rnacentral:rRNA from 1 species
CCUACGGGAGACAGCAGUGAGGAAUAUUGGUCAAUGGCCGGAAGGCUGAACCAGCCAAGCCGCGUGAAGGACGAAGGUGCCAAGCAUUGUAAACUUCUUUUGUCAAGGGACAAAAUCAGGCUCGAGAGCCUGACCGAGGGUACUUGAAGAAAAAGCAUCGGCUAACUCCAUGCAAGCAGCCGCGGUAAUACGGAGGAUGCGAGCGUUAUCCGGAUUUAUUGGGUUUAAAGGGUGCGUAGGCGGGCUGUUAAGUCAGCGGUAAAAGCCCGGGGCUCAACCCCGGCGAGCCGUUGAAACUGGCUGUCUUGAGAUGUCGAGAGGUAUGCGGAAUGCGCAGUGUAGCGGUGAAAUGCUUAGAUAUUGCGCAGAACUCCGAUUGCGAAGGCAGCAUACCGGCGGCGAUCUGACGCUGAGGCACGAAAGCGUGGGUAUCGAACAGGAUUAGAUACCCGGGUAGUC